GACGAACGCUGGCGGCGUGCCUAAUACAUGCAAGUUGAGCGAUGAAGAUUGGUGCUUGCACCAAUUUGAAGAGCAGCGAACGGGUGAGUAACGCGUGGGGAAUCUGCCUUUGAGCGGGGGACAACAUUUGGAAACGAAUGCUAAUACCGCAUAAUAACUUUAAACAUAAGUUUUAAGUUUGAAAGAUGCAAUUGCAUCACUCAAAGAUGAUCCCGCGUUAUAUUAGCUAGUUGGUGAGGUAAAGGCUCACCAAGGCGAUGAUACAUAGCCGACCUGAGAGGGUGAUCGGCCACAUUGGGACUGGGACACGGCCCAAACUCCUACGGGAGGCAGCAGUAGGGAAUCUUCGGCAAUGGACGAAAGUCUGACCGAGCAACGCCGCGUGAGUGAAGAAGGUUUUCGGAUCGUAAAACUCUGUUGGUAGAGAAGAACGUUGGUGAGAGUGGAAAGCUCAUCAAGUGACGGUAACUACCCAGAAAGGGACGGCUAACUACGU
rnacentral:rRNA from 1 species